ACCUUAAAACAGAUGUUUGAUACUUUACUUCACAAAGUUGCUUAUGGAAGAACAACAAAUCUACUCCUUACAGAAGAAUGUUGAUCAUCAUUAUCCGAUUUAGAUUGGACUUUGCAUUGAGCACUUCAUCGUGAUAUAGUCUCCUUGGGUACCAUAUUUUCUAAGAUGUCCAUUGCUGACCUAGCUGCCACGACGAUCGUAGUUUGCCGAGGUGUCCAUUGCUGACCUAGCUGCCAUGAGGAUCGUAGUUUGCCAAGGUGACCUACUUCAGUUGCCUAGUCGUCUUGACGUAACAGAAACGCUGAUCGUAUUUCUUCAGCUAAAAAUCAACUUCAACU